rnacentral:rRNA from 1 species
GAUGAACGCUGGCGGCGUGCUUAACACAUGCAAGUCGAACGAAGCAUUUGCUACAGAUUUUUUCGGAAUGAAGUUGCUUAUGACUGAGUGGCGGACGGGUGAGUAACGCGUGGGUAACCUGCCUUGUACUGGGGGAUAGCAGCUGGAAACGGCUGGUAAUACCGCAUAAGCGCACAAUGUUGCAUGACAUGGUGUGAAAAACUCCGGUGGUAUAAGAUGGACCCGCGUCUGAUUAGCUAGUUGGUGAGAUAACAGCCCACCAAGGCGACGAUCAGUAGCCGACCUGAGAGGGUGACCGGCCACAUUGGGACUGAGACACGGCCCAGACUCCUACGGGAGGCAGCAGUGGGGAAUAUUGCACAAUGGAGGAAACUCUGAUGCAGCGACGCCGCGUGAGUGAAGAAGUAAUUCGUUAUGUAAAGCUCUAUCAGCAGGGAAGAUAGUGACGGUACCUGACUAAGAAGCUCCGGCUAAAUACGUG